UACGGAGGGUGCGAGCGUUAAUCGGAAUUACUGGGCGUAAAGCGCAUGUAGGCGGUUGGGUGAGUCGGAUGUGAAAUCCCUGGGCUUAACCUGGGAAUGGCAUUCGAUACUGCCUGGCUAGAGUAGGCAAGAGGAGAGGGGAAUUCCGCGUGUAGCAGUGAAAUGCGUAGAUAUGCGGAGGAACACCGAUGGCGAAGGCACCUCUCUGGGGCCAUACUGACGCUGAGAUGCGAAAGCGUGGGGAGCAAACAGG
rnacentral:rRNA from 1 species